AGUGAACGCUGGCGGUAGGCCUAACACAUGCAAGUCGAACGGCAGCACAGUAAGAGCUUGCUCUUACGGGUGGCGAGUGGCGGACGAGUGAGGAAUACAUCGGAAUCUACUUUUUCGUGGGGGAUAACGUAGGGAAACUUACGCUAAUACCGCAUACGACCUACGGGUGAAAGCAGGGGAUCUUCGGACCUUGCGCAAUUGAAUGAGCCGAUGUCGGAUUAGCUAGUUGGCGGGGUAAAGGCCCACCAAGGCGACGAUCCGUAGCUGGUCUGAGAGGAUGAUCAGCCACACUGGAACUGAGACACGGUCCAGACUCCUACGGGAGGCAGCAGUGGGGAAUAUUCGACAAUGGGCGCAAGCCUGAUCCAGCCAUACCGCGUGAGUGAAGAAGGCCUUCGGGUUGUAAAGCCCUUUUGUUGGGAAAGAAAAGCAGCAGGUUAAUACCCCGCUGUUCUGACGGUACCCAAAGAAUAAGCACCGGCUAACUUCGUG
rnacentral:rRNA from 1 species